rnacentral:rRNA from 1 species
AUGGGUGCCAAGGGUGUACUUAACAUUGCUUGGGUUAAUGUUAGCAACAUCCCUCUGGAUAAAAUACAUGACAGAAAUAUUGCAUAUGUUGGGUCUUUGGUUGGUGUCACCUUAGACAUUGAUAAAGCUACUGUUAACAGACCUGAGUCGGUCAGAAUUAAGCUGGGAUGUAGAGAUGCUGAAGAUAUCCCGACUAAGGCCGAGGGGGUGCUAGGUUGA